CCUACGGGGGGCAGCAGUGGGGAAUAUUGGGCAAUGGGCGCAAGCCUGACCCAGCAAUGCCGCGUGAAGGAAGCAGGCUUUCGGGUUGUAAACUUCUUUGACAGGGGAAGAGCAGAAGACGGUACCCUGAAAACAAGCCACGGCUAACUACGUGCCAGCAGCCGCGGUAAUACGUAGGUGGCAAGCGUUGUCCGGAUUUACUGGGGGUAAAGGGCGUGUAGCCGGGAAGGCAAGUCAGAUGUGAAAUCCGGGGGCUCAACCUCCGAAUUGCAUUUGAAACUGUUUUUCUUGAGUACUGGAGAGGCAGACGGAAUUCCUUGUGUAGCGGUGAAAUGCGUAGAUAUAAGGAGGAACACCAGUGGCGAAGGCGGUCUGCUGGACAUUAACUGACGCUGAGGCACGAAGGCCAGGGGAGCGAAAGGGAUUAGAUACCCCUGUGUC
rnacentral:rRNA from 1 species